rnacentral:rRNA from 1 species
GACGAACGCUGGCGGCGUGCUUAACACAUGCAAGUCGAGCGGUAAGGCCCUUUCGGGGGUACACGAGCGGCGAACGGGUGAGUAACACGUGGGUGACCUGCCCUCAGCUCUGGGAUAAGCCUGGGAAACCGGGUCUAAUACUGGAUAUGACUCCAUGACGCAUGUUGUGGGGUGGAAAGCCUUGUGCGGCUGAGGAUGGGCCCGCGGCCUAUCAGCUUGUUGGUGGGGUGANGGCCUACCAAGGCGACGACGGGUAGCCGGCCUGAGAGGGCGACCGGCCACACUGGGACUGAGACACGGCCCAGACUCCUACGGGAGGCAGCAGGUGGGGAAUCUUGCGCAAGUGGGCGAAAGCCUGACGCAGCGACGCCGCGUGAGGGAUGACGGCCU